UGUAAUGAUGUGGACGUGUUGUUGAGUUGAGUGUCUUUACCUCUAGGGCAACAUGUUAGGUAUAAUGGGUGUCACUAUAUUUAUAUCAUUUGUUUCGGUAGCCGUCGCUCUUGGGUCCUCUGGAGCCCCAUCAUCAACCUUGACAGUGACUCCAAUGAAGGCAACCACCAGGAAUACCCCAACAUUGUCUGUCACCAUCCCCACAGUGGCCCCUGCCAUGCCAACCAGUAGGACAAGUUCAUCAGUCAGUGAAGCACCUAAUACAGAUCCUACUGGUGACACUAGAGUCCCAAUGGAAUCAUCAACUUCAUCACCUGCAACUGAGCCUUCCCAAUACUCUCAGCCACUAACUCCAUCACAAUCAUCCAAUGGCAGCACCACCACACAAACCUCUACAGGUUUUACAGCUGACACUACUAUGAAUCAGACCCUAACUGGAAUAGUUGGUUAUGACUCAACAUCCUCAAUCUUCUCAUCAACUUUGUCGCCAAGCUCUGAUUUUACGACAGGGAACAUGAGCUCAAGCACAGCCUUAGAAAGUGAUGGGAGACAUGUCUUAUCAAGGAGUCCGGGCCUCGUAGCAGUCCUCUGCAUAUUCUGCAUCUGUCUGGGUCUUCUGCUGGCUGUUGGAAUUGCAAAGCUCAUUACUCCCAGAGGUUCAACAUUUCAGAGGCUUGAAGAUGUGCCAUUGGGCAAAAUAAAUGAAGAGUCUCCAUUUGCCCGUUACCCUGAAAAACAAUUCUGAAAGAAAACACAUCAUGAGAGAAGGUAUUCUAUUUGGGGUUCAGACAAUGUUGUUCAUGAGGACGUGUCACCCACCAUCAUGUUUAUGUUCCUGUUUUUGUUUGUUUAUUUUGUCUGGCUGCUGGAAAGUGACGUGUGUUUGAAGGAAGUCAGUAUAGGCACUAAAAGCAAUCCUGUGAUGUGGUAAAGAAUAUCUCCUCCCAGGUUGGUCAGCAGCAUACUGAAGUCGAUCGUUGGUACUGUUCAUUCACAGGUGGAUGGAUGCAUCAAGGAACUGAAUACAGAAGAUGCACAGACAAUGUUUGCGUUUACACAGGUAGCCCAAUUCUGAUCUUUUGACAAAUUUUUAGCGAAAGAUCUGAUUUGUCAAAAAUACCAAUUAUUGGCACAAUAUCAGAAUUGGUCUGCCUUUAUAAACACAGCCAAUGUGUCAGGUAUCACUAGAAAUAAAGCUAUGAAAAAAGCUAUAAUAAAGCCAAAUUCUCUGUUUCUUGAAAAGACUAUGACAAACAGGCCUAAUUUUUGUAUGGGUUGAAAUAAAUAAAUGAUUGCAUUGAA